rnacentral:rRNA from 1 species
GACGAACGCUGGCGGCGUGCUUAACACAUGCAAGUCGAAGAUAGUGGCGAACGGGUGAGUAAUACGUGGGUAACCUGCCCUCCUUUUUGGGAUAAGCCUUGGAAAAGGGGUCUAAUACCGAAUAAAGGGGGAUGGGCUGGAGGCCUAUCAGCUUGUUGGUGGGGGUAUGGCCUACCAAGGCGGUGACGGGUAGCCGGCCUGAGAGGGUGACCGCACACAUUGUGACUGGGAUACGGCCCAGACUCCUACGGGAGGCAGCAGAGGGGGAUAUUGCACAAUGGGCGAAAGCCUGAUGCAGCGACGCCGCGUGGGGGAUGAAGGCUUUCGGGUUGUAAACCUCUUUCGGUACCUGAUGAAUAAGCACCGGCUAACUCCGUGCCAGCAGCCGCGGUAAUAC